UGGCUGAUGACGUUCUCACAGGAUGG
rnacentral:piRNA from 1 species